ACCUUAAGAGUUUUGGCCCGCAUUGGCCUAUAUUUGAAUCAAAGGAUUCCCACUUCUUAUUGGUGCAUGAGAAAGAUCCAAGACUCUCCUUAUUUGCAAAUGAAAAGGAAAGUCAAGAAGAGAAAAGAAGUGGAGACCAAGGAAAUGAUCAAGCUCUUGAGUAUUAUCAAGACCCAAUCUUUAGGAAG